rnacentral:rRNA from 1 species
GAUGAACGCUGGCGGCGUGCCUAAUACAUGCAAGUCGAGCGAACAGACGAGGAGCUUGCUCCCCUGACGUUAGCGGCGGACGGGUGAGUAACAAGUGGAUAACAUACCUAUAAGACUGGGAUGACUUCGGGAAACAGGAGCUAAUACCGGAUAAUAUAUUGAACCGCAUGGUUCAAUAGUGAAAGACGGCUUUGCUGUCACUUAUAGAUGGAUCCGCGCCGCAUUAGCUAGUUGGUAAGGUAACGGCUUACCAAGGCAACGAUGCGUAGCCGACCUGAGAGGGUGAUCGGCCACACUGGAACUGAGACACGGUCCAGACUCCUACGGGAGGCAGCAGUGGGGAAUCUUCCGCAAUGGGCGAAAGCUUGACGGAGCAACGCCGCGUGGGUGAUGAAGGUCUUCGGGUCGUAAAACUCUGUUGUUAGGGAAGAACAAAUGUAUAUUUAACUAUGCACGUCUUGACGGUACCUAAACAGAAAGCCACGGCUAACUACGUG